GCUCUAGUAGUAUAGUGGUUAGUACAUCACUUUGUGGCAGUGAAAACGGAGGUUCGAUUCCUCCCUGGGGCA
rnacentral:tRNA from 1 species